CAGGCUGGUGGCGGGCCAAAAGGACCAGAUGGGGACACUGGCGCCAAGGGAGAGAUGGGGCGACCGGGAAUGCCAGGAGAAAAAGGAGAUUUCGGCGCUGUGGGAAACAUUGGUGAUCCUGGUCCAGUUGGUUACAGUGGGAUGAAGGUAAAGUUC